rnacentral:piRNA from 1 species
UGCAUCCUUAGUUUGGCCUUUGCUGGUUGA